rnacentral:rRNA from 1 species
GACGAACCGUGCGAACGUUAUUCGGAAUCACUGGGCUUAAAGGGCGCGUAGGCGGGCUCGCCAGUCAGGGGUGAAAGCCCACGGCUCAACCGUGGAAGUGCCUUUGAUACUGCGAGUCUCGAGGGAGGUAGGGGCGUGCGGAACUUCCGGUGGAGCGGUGAAAUGCGUAGAUAUCGGAAGGAACACCGGUGGCGAAGGCGGCUCUCUGGACCGAUACUGACGCUGAGGCGCGAAAGCGUGGGGAGCAAACAGG